rnacentral:ncRNA from 1 species
AUAAACACGUUGAUGAGGACAGUAAGCUAAAAUCUUAUUUUUCAGAGAGAGAAUAUGUUGGUGCGAUUAUUCUUAUAUAAAUUUAGACUGAAAACCACCUCUGAGUGGCCCUAAUAAAGCCCGUAAUUAUCACGUUACGAUAAAUUCAAGUGACCUAUUUAACUGAUUUUUAAAAAGGUUUUUAAUGUUUAUUUUAUUUGACCUAUUUUAAUCAGUCUGUUCUAGGUAAUUAGAGUGGAACCACGGAUAUUACUUCGUCUCUAUU